GAGGGUAUAGCUCAGUGGUAGAGCGCAUGCCUAGCAUGGACAAGGUCCUGGGUUCAAUUCCUGGCACCUCCA
rnacentral:tRNA from 1 species